rnacentral:rRNA from 1 species
GGUGUUGAUUGCGAAAAGGGUCCACCCGUUCCCAUCCCGAACACGGUAGUUAAGCUUUUCUGCGCCCACAAUACUUGGCGGGAGGCCGCCCGGGAAGAUAGGUAAUGC